rnacentral:lncRNA from 1 species
CGGGGCUACUUGCCAAUUGCCGCCCUUGUGGGGGUCUCUUCUGCUUUCUCUGGCCUGGGAGACGCUGGGGUGUUUCUGAUCCUGGGGCUCCUGGGGGGUGGUGCACAUUAGCUCCAGGGAUGGAGGGUGCUGUGGACACUGUGGGAAGCUUGGAUGUCUCCUCCCAGGCUCUCUCCUCCCAGGCUCUCUCAGUGCCUCCUCAUCUGUUUCUUUAGCUUUUGGAUCUUGAGCACCAGGGCCUGGGCCCCCACCCACUCGUUCCCUUCCAGGAAGACCUGGUCCAGCUCCAGCUGUUGCUCAAGCAACUCCUCAGCUUGGGCCAGCUCAGCUGUGUCUGGGGCUCAGGGCCCUGGUGACAGGGAGUAGGGGAGGAGCAUCAGCCAAGGCAGGAGGCUGAAGCCCUUGGAACCUGUGUUGCAAGGUCUCAUGGUAAGUGAGGAAUCUGACCUCCCUUUCUCUUUUUCCAGCCCAUUAGCUUAAGUCCACCUGUACUGAGAAUCCCAGGGAGCAACCUGUCUUGGGCAUAGGCCUCUGGGGGGCAGAUACAGAUCCCUGGCUCAGGGGCUGUAUCUGGAUGCUUUGAACGAAGACAUGGGGUCACUGGAAAGAGAGGACCAGCUGUCUCUCCCCACUGAGAAAUAAUUAACUGUUAGAUGAGGGGAAAUUCCUGUUCAAGGACUCUGGACUGUGCUGCUCUGGGCAGGGGAGGACUGGGGAGACGGGGCCCUGAGGGCUGGGCUGGGAUGGGGGUGGGAAGGAGCUGAGAAUUGGAAACAGGUAAAAAGCUGCAGGGGUGAAAAGGGUGGGAUUGAGAGGAUUUGCCCCACUCCUGUACUGAUCCCCUUUGUCUCCUGCACCCAUGCACUUGGAGCCACAUGGGGGGUGGCAUCAUCUUCCCACUGCCCCAGAGGCCGUUCUGCCCUUCCCUGCUUGCCUUGGAGUUUUGGGAGCAGCAUGCGUAUAAGCCCUGGGGUGCCAGGGACCAGGAGGGCAGGAAGAGACGAAGGAAACAGCACCGAGAGAGACAGGCAAUGGAAAAACAAAAAUUUGUGUGACUUGUUUGUUCUCCAUGGUCUGAAACCAAAUCUGCAGUGUCUCUGAGGUACGUCUGUAAUUUCCCUUUCCCUCUUCCUGCUGGCCCAGAAUGACCUUGUUUCUUGUCCCUGUCUAGCCCUGCAUGCUGCAGGGGUUUGCCUUCUCUGGUAGGUCUGGGAA